CUGGCUCAGGACGAACGCUGGCGGCGUGCCUAAUACAUGCAAGUCGAGCGAACAGAGAAGGAGCUUGCUCCUUCGACGUUAGCGGCGGACGGGUGAGUAACACGUGGGCAACCUACCUUAUAGUUUGGGAUAACUCCGGGAAACCGGGGCUAAUACCGAAUAACCUGUUUCACCUCAUGGUGAAACACUGAAAGACG
rnacentral:rRNA from 1 species